UCGCAAGAUGUCAGCGGCAGACGGGAGAGUAACACGUGGGAACAUGCCCUUCGGUUCGGAGUAACUCAGGGAAACUUGAGCUAAUACCGGAUACGUCCGUAAGGAGAAAGAUUUAUCGCCGAAGGAUUGGCCCGCGUCCGAUUAGCUAGUUGGUGAGGUAACGGCUCACCAAGGCGACGAUCGGUAGCUGGUCUGAGAGGAUGAUCAGCCUCACUGGGACUGAGACACGGCCCAGACUCCUACGGGAGGCAGCAGUGGGGAAUAUUGGACAAUGGGCGCAAGCCUGAUCCAGCCAUGCCGCGUGGGUGAUGAAGGCCCUAGGG
rnacentral:rRNA from 1 species